GAUGAACGCUGGCGGCGUGCCUAAUACAUGCAAGUCGAGCGAACAGACGAGGAGCUUGCUCCUCUGACGUUAGCGGCGGACGGGUGAGUAACACGUGGAUAACCUACCUAUAAGACUGGGAUAACUUCGGGAAACCGGAGCUAAUACCGGAUAAUAUAUUGAACCGCAUGGUUCAAUAGUGAAAGACGGUUUUGCUGUCACUUAUAGAUGGAUCCGCGCCGCAUUAGCUAGUUGGUAAGGUAACGGCUUACCAAGGCAACGAUGCGUAGCCGACCUGAGAGGGUGAUCGGCCACACUGGAACUGAGACACGGUCCAGACUCCUACGGGAGGCAGCAGUAGGGAAUCUUCCGCAAUGGGCGAAAGCCUGACGGAGCAACGCCGCGUGAGUGAUGAAGGUCUUCGGAUCGUAAAACUCUGUUAUUAGGGAAGAACAAAUGUGUAAGUAACUCUGCACGUCUUGACGGUACCUAAUCAGAAAGCCACGGCUCCCUACGUG
rnacentral:rRNA from 1 species